AACAGGCGUUCUGUUUGGCUUUGAUCCUUCUUUCAUGACAAAAUCGAAUCAAAGUUUAUUUAUAUAGCACUUUCCAAUAACCAACAAGUUAACCAAAGUGCUUCACAGUUAAAAUAUAAGGUUUGAAAUAAUUUAAAUGCAAAAAGUAAUCAAACACAAUAGCUAGCUUAAGAAACCGAUUUUAAAACCAAUACAUUGAAUAAAUCAUACCGUUAAAAUACUGUAAGACAGUGCAGGAUAAACCAAAAUACAUGCUGUUAUGUAUUUAGCUGGACUGUAUGUGCUAAUAAUUAACGCUGGAAUAUCCCAUACAUACAACCAUUCCCUUUAAGAAUGAAGGACUUUUAUUGUGCUCGUCUGGUCUGGUCUUCUGUGAACAUAUAACACAGUACAAGUACAGUAGUACUAGCUUAGCCUAGCCUACAUUAGCUAACGUGCCGAACUCAAACAGUUACGCAUGUUUACUUAUAAAGUGUAAGAACAUACAAUAGAACCAUUGCAGAAAAUGUCUACGAAUCAGCGGCACAACAAGUAGUAAUAAUAAUAUGGUAAUUUACAACACAUACAUACACAAUGAAUAAAAACAGAUGAAGAAUAAAAAGGAUAAUCUCCUAGUGCUCUGCUAAAUGUCUGUUCUAGAGAGUAGGUGCUGCCACCGCAAAAGCACAAUCACCCCAUCUCUUGUACCUAGUAUGAGGGAUUGACAGUAAGUUUUUCAAGAGGUCAGAUAAAUCAGGGGGAGCAAGACUAUUAAGUGCCUUUUAAAGACAAAAGUUCUCAUGCCUAGGAGUGUUUGUUAGGAAAUGUGCUGCAGUGUUUCGUACCAGCUGCAGACAAACUAAUGCAGCUUUCGGACAACUGUACAAUGUGUUACAGUAGUCAAGUCAAGAGCUAACAAAUGUAUGAAUUGCACUUUCCAACUCUCUUCUACUCAGGAAUGAUUUAACCUUUUGAUAGCAGCGAAGCUGGAAAAAAAUGGAUUUGACAACAGCCCUGAUGUGAUUUUCAAGAUUUAAAUUGCUGUUGAGGAUGACCCCAAGAUUCUUCACAGAUUGUUUUGUGGCGAGAUAGAACCUAAGUCAGUAGCAGUGUUUUUUUCCAAAAAAAUCUAUUCAGUUUUAGCUUCAUUUAAUCAAAGAAAAGUUUGAGUCAUCCAGGAUUUGAUGUCACUCAAAUAGAGAAGUGAUUUAAAUGAACCAUGUUUCGUGGGAGAUAGAUUUGAAUAUCAUCUGCGUAACAAUGAUACGAAAGGCCAUGCUUAUCCAGAAUAGAGCUCAGCGGAAGAUGUCACGAAAAAAACAUUGAGCCUAGUUUGGAACCUUGAGGGACGCUAUAUUUCAAUGGAGAGUAAGAUGAUGAGCUAUCUCCCAUUGUAACAGAAAUGGAUCUACCAGUCAGGUAAAAUUCAAACCAUUUAAGUACACUUCCACUGUGUGAGCAAGGCGAGAAAUCAGAAUUCUAUGAUCAGCUGUAUCGAAUGGAGCAGUGAGGUCCAGCAUUACUAAAAUAAUUCAAAUUUUAGUUGUCCAGGGAUAGCAUAAUAUCAUUGUGCACUUUCAAAAGGGCAGAUAUGGUGCUGUGCCUUGAUAUAAACCCUGACUAAAAUUUCUCAAGGAUAUUAUUUUGUAAAAAAGGUUUUACCUGGUUAAACACAACUUUCCCAAGAACCUUACACAAAAAGGUCUAAAAUUUUACAUUUCUGUAGGACUAAGAUUUGGUUUCUGACGAAGUGGACGAAUAACAGCAUGUUUAAUUUAAUUCAAUUUUAUUUAUAUAGCGCCAAAUCACAACAAGGUUAUCUUUAAAGGGGUCAUAUCAUGCAAAAUCCACUUUUUAGACAUUUUGGAGCGUUCCUAUGACUCUAUGGUUCACAUACACACACUGAGCACGGUAGAAAUGCAUUUCCUCCUUUUUUCACAUUUUGAAAAUGGAAAUUUUCUCAUCUAAUGGAGACAGACCUUGUCCUACUCUGAAGCCGGGUCCCUGUUGUUGUCAUAGAUGUAGGAAGUCCUCCCUGCAAAUCCUGAACCACCACCCCCACAAUGAUCCCGAACCAAAACUGGACUUCCGCCAUUUCCCCCCCUCUCACUCACCGUGAACAGACGAGCACGGCAGCGCCAAAGUCCUCCCAUAGAAAUAGUUCGGUUUUUGGGUGUUUUAACCAACACCAAAGUCUCUUCACUUUACCAAGGGUUCAACAAGUGAGGACUUUGUGGGUCACUUUUAUUUUAAACAGACCGAUGCCAUAAACACUGCCUCAGCAUUUAUACGUAUGUGCAUUUCAAACGAGGGUGCGUACAAUGCUGGAUUUGUUUCACGGCUCCUGUUGGGGGAAAAAAAGGAUCUAUUCCUACAGUCCGUCAUCCACUCACUGAAGUAAGUACAUGCUUAAUACUUAUAAUGUUUUUAAUUGUUAGUUUUUCUGUUUAAAAUGUAGUAACCCAUGUGUGAGGCAAGUUAGUAGCUAGCUAUCUUAACUGCUACAGCCCAUUGUCCCCUUCAAAUGUGCUCAUGUGGGCUCCUGCAGCCACACACCUGUGGAGAAAAGCUAAUGGCUAUCGGCAUUCGAGCGGCGACAGGCAGGGAGCGAUGAAUCUAGCUCGCUGUAGUAAGUUUGUGCUUGAUACUUGUGAUAUCUAAAUAUGUUAGUUGAGUCUGUUUUAAAAUGUAGUAACCCACAUGUGAGACAAGCUAAUAGCUAGUUUUGCUAAUGGCUACAGUCAGUCAACCGAGCCUUUGUCCCUUUUUUAAAUGUGCUACUCUGAGUUGGCGCAAUCACACACCUGUGUGGGGAACAGCUAAUAGUUAUGGGCCUUCGAUCGGUGACAGGCAGGGAGCGGUGGAUCAAGCUUUUGUCCGGUUGACGUGCUGCCGCUCCUAUUUGUGUGUUGCGUUAGCCGUUAGCAUGUUGUUAGGCCUUUGCACUUUAGAGCUACAGCUGGUCGAUCGCUACAAUAAGAAACAGCAGAUGAACACGGAUGUUUAUUACCCCGUCCAGUGUCGCAGCCUAAAUCAACUUGUGAUUUGGGGUUAUGUUAUUGUUCUAUCAAACUCUAACAUGAUUAGUUGGUGGUAACUAAUGGUAACUGUUGUGUUGCAAGCUUAGUUGCUAAUUAGUCGCAUCUCUACAAUAACUGCUGCUUAUCUGGUCAGUAACCUAUAGCUUGUACCAUAGCAAUUAUAUAUGUAGGACUAAUAAAAUUUACAGUAAAUGUAACACUGUCUUUUUCUUUUUCUGUCUACCGUGGUGGGGCACAUCCCAGUUACCCACAUGCAAGGAGGUUGUCAAACAGAGAAAUCACUGCAGACUGUUGGUACACAGAAAUCUGUUGCCCAGCUCAGGAGUGAAUUACCUUUUUGUUUUGAUGAGGUGAUGUUGAGGACAGCCACAGCUUCCAUCUGGUAGAGGACUGCUUCCGCUCAGUCUUCCAAAUAGUGAUGAGAACAAGGAUCACCACAUCUCCCUGGUCAUCUGUCUACAACUAUACCUGUCCUGCUGCAGAAAAAAAUCUGCAACAUAACCAAGUUUACCCCCAAACCAGGACAGGUCUGUUUACCCUACUUCCAUCAAGCAUUUCAUCUGCAAGGCCCUGCAAAAGCUUCUAUCCUCAAACCCCCAGACUUCUUAAUUAACUCAGUAACCUAUACAUUGCACAUUGGAGUGUGAAGGUAACAGUUUGUUCUAGCUUUGGAGUAGUGGUGCAUUUUUUUUGGUUGACAAUAAAGCUGGCUUUAAUUAUUGCAUAUUUCACUGAACUCUGAUUUCCUGAAUAAAAGCGUUUUCCCCUCAGAAAAACAUAGUAUUGAAAUUACAUGUUUUUCUUUUUCUAAUAUGGUAAGCCAUAAAGGUGAACCGGCCAUAAAUAAAAAGCAUAUAAAUUAUAUAUAAAUAAAAAAAAAUCUUAAUUGAGUAUUGCACUCUCAAAAAACACUUCUACUCAAAUGAUAGAAGAGUUAUUCCACAGGUGGUCAACAUCCAUCAUACAGUGAUCAUCAUUUAGUGUUUUAUCCAUUAGGAAACUGCCUUCAUCUACAACCCAAGCAUGAAGAGAUGGCAACUCAGAUUCUUCACCCCAGGAAUCCCCAGCACCAGCUCACUAGCCUCUGUAGACUAGAUACCUGUAACAACAUCAGAUACAGAGACAUUACUGUCAGAUUUAUUAAGAAUGAUCAAAAAACACAAUUAAAUGCAGUAAAAAUAAGUCAGGUCAAUAUAUAAUUUGAACUAAUGCUUUUUGUUCCCAGGUAGGUCAUGCAGUGAUUGAAUAGAAAACUAUAAAAAAUAGAAACUGAAUAUCAAUGCACAUUUAUUAAAAUAAAUUUAUGUCAGAGCAGCAGCACAAGUAAGACAAAAACAGUGAAUUGUGUAAAUGUACAAUGUAUUUAUAUUCUUUCAGCUAUGCUCUUAAACUUUUAUUUAUUUGUGUAAUGUAAGCUAAAGUAGUGUUUUUUAUUAGCGAGUGUUUUCCAGGUAAGUCAUGUUUUAAAUAUUCAAGCCAUUUAGCAUAAGAAUUAGCAACCGCUAGUCAUUUUGUAAAUUACAUUAAUCAAAUAAAUUGAAGUUCGAAAUUACCAAUGAGACACAUGUUGAAGUCACCACAUUUCGGCUGAUGCAAGAGUCCCUCUUCAGCUUCAGGGUCAGAUUCGGGAUCGUAGAUGUAUGGUUCUACUACUCUACAGGACCAGCUGGCUAUUGUCUUGCAGUCCUGUAGUGGGUCUUCUUCUGUGGAGGAUUGCGUUGGAUUGCAUUCUCAAUGUCGCACUACUGCCACCUAUUGUAUCCUAACCAUGCGGUGACUCAUAUCCAUGGAGCCAAUUAAAAAAAAAAAACAACAACAAAAAAGGUAUGCGCUUCCACAUAGAGGUGUGGCGAGCAGCUUCGCUUGUGACAGACCCAGAAAACACAGCGCUGAGGACAGAGUGGAGGAGAGAGAGAGAGAGCGGGGGAGAAGCACUGGAGAGAAAGAGACAAGGUUAGUUAGGUUAUUGGACAGAAGAGGUAGAAAGAAACAAAGGAGCUCAGUGUAUAAAUUAAGUCCCCCAGCAGUCUAUGUCUAUUUAGCUUAACUAAGAGAUAGUUCAUGUGCCUACAAUCAUUGCCAGUGACCUGAACCAUCUGUAACUGCAAGCUUUAUCAAAAAGAAAGGGUUUUAAGUCUGAUCUUAAUGGUAGAGUGUGUGUCAGCUUCUCAAACCUGAACAGGGAGCUGCGUCCACAGGAGAGGAGCUUGGUAGCUAAAAGCGCUGCCUCCCAUUCUACAAGACUCUAGGAACCACAAGUAGCCCAGUGCUCUGAGAACGAAGUGUUCUGCUGGGAGUAUAAGGAACUAUGAGGUCUUUAAGAUAAGAAGCUUUAUCAUUAAGUACUUUGUAGGUGAGUAGGAUCCUACAUUUUACAGGCAACCAGUGCAGAGAAGCUAAUGUAGGAGAAAUGUAAUCUCUCUUUCUAAGUCCUGUCAGAACUCUGGCUGCAGCAUUUUGAAUAAGCUGUAGGCUUUUUAAGAGCUGUUAGGACAUCCUAUGAGUAAGGAGUUACAGUAGUCCAGCCUAGAGGUAACAAAUACAUGAAUCAGUUUCUCUGCGUCGCUCUGAGAGAGGAUGCUUCUGAUUUUAGCUACAUUUCUAAGGUGGAACUAGGCUGUUCUGUAGAUUUAUUGUAUUAUAGGUUUAUUGUAUGAUGUAAAAGAGAGAUCUUGGUCAAAGAUGACACUAAUGUUUCUCACAGUAGAAUCUGAAGCUAAUGUUGUGCCAUCCAGGGUGGCUAUCUGACUCAAUAGUGUCUCUCAGAUUUUUAGUCCCAACAAUAAGAAUUUCAGUUUUAUCGGACUUUAGUUGAAGGAAGUUUUCGGACAUCCAGGAUUUGAUGAACAACAAUUUUGACUAAUUAGAACUAAAUGAAACAGAUCAAAGACAUAUAUAGCUGAGUAUCAUCUGCAGAACAAUGAAAAUUUAUAGAAUGCUUCCUAAUAAUCUCACUUAGAGGAGACAUGUAUAGGCUGAACAGAAUUGGACCAAGCACAGAACCCUGUGGUACUCCAUAUCUAGUCCUUGUGCAUGUGGAGAGUUUGUCAUUAACAUGAACAAACUGGAAUCUGUUCUAGAAAUAGGAUUUAAACUAUCCCAGUACUGUCCCUUUAAUUUCCAAUUCUAUGUUCUAGUCUCUAUAAUAGAAUGUUAUGAUCAAUUAUAUCAAAUGCAGCACUAAGAUCUAACAGGACAAGGACAGAAACUAGAUCAUUGUUCGAAGCCAAGAGAAGAUCAUUAACUCUAAUCAGAGCCCUUUCUGUGCUAUGAUGUUUUCUGAAUCCUGACUAAAAAUCUUCGUACAGGUUAUUUCCACUCAGGUGGUCAGAUAAUUGUUUAGCAACAAUUUUUUAAAGAAUCUUAGAAAUAAAGGGUAAAUUUGAAAUGGGCCUGUAGUUGGCUAGGUUUCCAGGGUCCAGAGUAGUUUUUUCAAUAGAGGUUUGACCACAGCCACCUUAAAAGCCUGUGGUACAUAGCCUGAAUGUGAAGAUUGGUUCAUUUGAUUUAAUAUAGACAAGCAGAUCAAAGGUAGAACUUCUUUUGAGUAAUCUGGUUGGGAUUGGGUCUAAAAGACAAGUGGACGACUUGGAAGAGUUGAUUAUUGAGGUUACCUCCAUAUGAAUUAUCGGGAAGAAGCUGUCUAGGUAAAAUAGAGGACUUGGUAAUUUAAAGUUGUUCGAUCUAGACAGUGAUUUCUGUCAUUUGGAGGAAAUCGCUGCUGAAUGUCCUUAAUGGUGAUAAUUUUAUUGGUAAAGUAGUUCAUAAAGUCAUUGCUGUGUUGAGUCUACUAUCCCCUUAAAUCCCAGCAGCAAUGACUCUUCGUCAGCCUGGCUACAUUGCUAAAAAGAAACCUGGCGUUGUUUUUGUAGCAGUUUUCUAGCAGCACAAUGUGCUUUUUAUAUAUUAUUAGACUGUCCUUCCAUGCAAUGCAGUUUACAUUUAUUUUGUUGGAACGCCACUGCCUUUUUAGUUGUCGGGUCCUGUGCUUUAGGCUGCGGAUCUCUGAGUUAUACCACAGAGCUAACCUCCUCCGAUUCACUGUCUUCUUCUUCAGAGGAGUCACUGUCUAACAUUGUAUGUAGAGAAGCUGCAGCAUCCUCUACAAGACAAUCAACCUGU